CAAGAACACACAAACUCUGGCUAUAUAUGGAGGAUAAAUACCUUUCUAAGUAACAAGAGGAGUCGAUGUCUUCCUUCGAAUUGAUCGACGGUGUUUAUAAGAUGCUUUAGUCAAAUUUUUAAAAGUCUUUAGUCCAAACACAAACACCAACACUAAGAUGAAAAUAUUUCCGAUAUACUCUUCUCUUUCGGGUAUCCCUGGUUGUUAUGUUUCUUGUUCUGUCAAAAGUCGAUUGCCCAGAUGCAGGCUUCAGUACGACUUCAACGGUCUUCACGGACGCACGCGAACCGAUUGUCUCUCUCGGAAGUUUUUCGUCUCAUCUUCCCUUCCGAAGUUUCGUGUCCGACUCCCUAGUCGCGUCUCCGUUUCAGGCAACUUCUUGACCGCUUUCGUAAAUAAUUUGCUCGUUUUUCCAGGGUGACACAUUUCUUAGUAUCGACUUUCCACCCUGGUUA
rnacentral:lncRNA from 1 species